rnacentral:tRNA from 1 species
GGCAGUGUAGCUUAGUGGUAAAGCACCUCCCUUUCACGGAGGUGACAACCGUUUGAUUCGGUUCGCUGCCACCA